rnacentral:rRNA from 1 species
UGUCGGGUAAGUUCCGACCCGCACGAAAGGCGUAACGAUUUGGGCACUGUCUCAACGAGAGACUCGGUGAAAUCAUAGUACCUGUGAAGAUGCAGGUUACCCGCGACAGGACGGAAAGACCCCGUGGAGCUUUACUGUAGCCUGAUAUUGAAAUUCGGCACAGCUUGUACAGGAUAGGUAGGAGCCUUUGAAACGUGAGCGCUAGCUUACGUGGAGGCGCUGGUGGGAUACUACCCUAGCUGUGUUGGCUUUCUAACCCGCACCACUUAUCGUGGUGGGAGACAGUGUCAGGCGGGCAGUUUGACUGGGGCGGUCGCCUCCUAA